AUUGAACGCUGGCGGCAGGCCUAACACAUGCAAGUCGAGCGAGCGGCGGACGGGUGAGUAAUGUCUGGGAAUCUGCCUGAUGGAGGGGGAUAACUACUGGAAACGGUAGCUAAUACCGCAUACCAUCGGAUGUGCCCAGAUGGGAUUAGCUAGUAGGUGGGGUAAUGGCUCACCUAGGCGACGAUCCCUAGCUGGUCUGAGAGGAUGACCAGCCACACUGGAACUGAGACACGGUCCAGACUCCUACGGGAGGCAGCAGUGGGGAAUAUUGCACAAUGGGCGCAAGCCUGAUGCAGCCAUGCCGCGUGUGUGAAGAAGGCCUUCGGGUUGUAAAGUACUUUCAGCGGGGAGGCGUUACCGGCAGAAGAAGCACCGGCUAACUCCGUGCCAGCAGCCGCGGUAAUUC
rnacentral:rRNA from 1 species